rnacentral:rRNA from 1 species
GACGAACGCUGGCGGCGUGCCUAAUACAUGCAAGUUGAGCGCUGAAGGUUGGUACUUGUACCAACUGGAUGAGCAGCGAACGGGUGAGUAACGCGUGGGGAAUCUGCCUUUGAGCGGGGGACAACAUUUGGAAACGAAUGCUAAUACCGCAUAAAAACUUUAAACACAAGUUUUAAGUUUGAAAGAUGCAAUUGCAUCACUCAAAGAUGAUCCCGCGUUGUAUUAGCUAGUUGGUGAGGUAAAGGCUCACCAAGGCGAUGAUACAUAGCCGACCUGAGAGGGUGAUCGGCCAAAUUGGGACGGAGACACGGCCCAAACUCCUACGGGAGGCAGCAGUAGGGAAUCUUCGGCAAUGGACGAAAGGCUGACCGAGCAACGCCGCGUGAGUGAAGAAGGGUGUCGGAUCGUAAAACUCUGUUGGUAGAGAAGAACGUUGGUGAGAGUGGAAAGCUCAUCAAGUGACGGUAACUACACAGAAAGGGACGGCUAACUACGUG